GUAUUGGGCACCAUUUUUGCUCAUAUUUAUGUUGGCUACAGCUUUCCAUGUUUGUUUCGCAAAUUGUUGUCGUGUUCCGCUCUUGGUUUUGUUCCUUUUAUGUAAGGUUUCGUUAUGGCAGUCGUCUUUUUUUCCUUGCAAACUGUCUGACAUGAAACAUUGAAAAUGUACCGACUUUUUCCUCGCAUCACAUCAUGGUCAAAUAUUUGAAGUUCCUUUUCAUGGUGGAAGCACAACUUUAAUCUGCUAGACUAUUGCAGUUUUCGAAGAGAACGGAUUUCUAUUACAGAAUAUAAUUCGUGAGCUAUAAGUGUAGACCAUUUCAGAAGACUGAAUUUUUUUGUUGGGUCAAGGAAAUCGAUUGGCUGCACCCUGUAUAGAGCUUCCCGUAAUUUUGCAUAGGUCGCAAUCUUCCAAUACUAAUUAGCUACUACUAUAAAUUAUACUGCUCAUAUUAAGACGGAAAAGAUCUGAGCCUUCUAUUUUACAGGCACUUACUAUUUCUUCUAUGAGAUUUGUUUUCUUGGUAAGGCUGUACAAGAGUUGUCGGGUAUGCAUAGCUGCAUUCGUACUAGACAAGCCAAGUUAGUUAUUCUUUUGUUUUCCCCAUUUGAUGGAUUUGUAUUGGAAAAAUUCAUGCCUCAUUUGACAAAUCUGGAACAUCAGAUCCAUGAAUAUGCCCUCCUUGCUUUCACUGCCAGUGUCAAAUCAAUUAUCUUCUAUUGCAGUAAAGCAAGGUGAUAAAUCAUUAUAUGUACAUUUUCCGCUUCUCAGUUUGUAUAGUGAAGUCUUGGCGUAUUUAUUAUUUCUUAACAUGCUUCUGUAGCUAGGUUGUGCUGUUUAUUUUUCAGAAUUAUCACGCAAAGUAUGUUAGUUACGAUGGCAGGGUUUUGAUUUGAGGUUCUCUAAAUUUUAAAUGGUAGGAACACUGAGGUACUGGAGUGGCUAGCUAUUAAACUUUUACAUGUCAAAGGUCUUUUGUCUAUAUGGUUUCUAUACUUUCCUUUAGGAAGUUGGCCCUAUAACUAAGAUUACUCUAUGUACUAGCUCUUGCAGCUGCAGUCCAAGGUAAGGGGAGAAGCAGCAGGCAAUUCCUCCAUCCAUGAUUUGCUUCAGUCCAAUUACCUAGGGUGUUGGCAUGCAAGGACAGGGGUGACCAACAAGGGAAAGCAACUCAGCCAUCAAUGGCCAUGGUGCAUCUCUCUUCUCAAUUUCUAGAGGUGUUCAGUUUUGUUCAGCUACAUUUGAUUAACGUUCCCUCUUAGUGGAUAUUAGUUUUGAUAAAAAUGAUUAAUUUAAAGCUAAAUCUGUAUCUUUUUCAUGGAUUCACCAAAGAGAAACGUGAGGACGCCCAACCGUGGAGAAACACCACAACUCCAUGCUGAAGUGUCGCUCGGGUGCCUUUAUGAUGAAAUAUGUUUCUGCCAAGGCAUGUGGUCAGAGGACCACAACAACGUGUACGCACUGUUGCACGCCGUUGCCCACGUCCAGGGAGUGCAAGCACAUGGCAGCAAGAAGUUCUUAAACCACUAAAUAUGUCAACAUCAAACAGGAAGUUGAUCGAUGGGCUCCAGUUUUCAUCACUGUUUUUGCAUGGACACAUGAUGUGUAGCAUGAACUGGUACCAUACUGGUAGUUUAAUUAUCUUAGAUAUGCGGCAUCUUUGAAAUCACCUGAUGUUAAUGAUCUACUCAUGUUGUUUUUCUGUUUGAAGGUACAAACUUUGGCCUAUG